rnacentral:rRNA from 1 species
AUUAGAGUUUGAUCAUGGCUCAGGACGAACGCUGGCGGCGUGCCUAACACAUGCAAGUCGAGCGAAUGAAGUUCCUUCGGGAAUGGAUUUAGCGGCGGACGGGUGAGUAACACGUGGGCAACCUGCCUCAUAGAGGGGAAUAGCCUUCCGAAAGGGAGAUUAAUACCGCAUAAGAUUGUAGUACCGCAUGGUACAGCAAUUAAAGGAGCAAUCCGCUAUGAGAUGGGCCCGCGGCGCAUUAGCUAGUUGGUGAGGUAACGGCUCACCAAGGCGACGAUGCGUAGCCGACCUGAGAGGGUGAUCGGCCACAUUGGGACUGAGACACGGCCCAGACUCCUACGGGAGGCAGCAGUGGGGAAUAUUGCACAAUGGGGGAAACCCUGAUGCAGCAACGCCGCGUGAGUGAUGACGGCCUUCGGGUUGUAAAGCUCUGUCUUCAGGGACGAUAAUGACGGUACCUGAGGAGGAAGCCACGGCUAACUACGUGCCAGCAGCCGCGGUAAUAAU